CCUGGAUGUUAUUGUCCUCCAGAACUUGGCGAAUAGGUAGUCCAGCUUGGCCAUGAGAUCAGGCUUCUCUGCGUUCCGGGCACACGUGGUAGCAGCCAUUUUGCUUGGCUUCUUCCUGCUGCUCGCAGAGUUCCACCUUUGAGGCCUUUGCAGGAGGGUUGCCUCUCAGGAUUUGACCAGGAUAUCCCCCACCGGUCCAGCGGCGGGGGAGAAGGGCGUCGGUGGGUAUGUACCUCCAAUGUAUGGGCAAGGAGAGCGG